GAUGAACGCUGGCGGCGUGCCUAAUACAUGCAAGUCGAGCGAACAGACGAGGAGCUUGCUCCUCUGACGUUAGCGGCGGACGGGUGAGUAACACGUGGAUCACCUCACUAUAAGACUGGGAUAACUACGGGAAACCGGUGCCAAUAACGGAUAAUAUUUUCAACCGGUUGGUUCAGUAGUGCUUGACGGUUUUGGUGUCACUUAUAGCUGAAUCCGCGCCGCAUUAGCUAGUUGGUAAGGUAACGGCUUACCAAGGCAACGAUGCGUAGCCGACCUGAGAGGGUGAUCAGCCACACUGGAACUGAGACACGGUCCAGACUCCGACGGGAGGCAGCAGUGGGGAAGCUGCCGCAAUGGGCGGAAGCCUGACGGAGCCACGCCGCGUGAGUGAUGAAGGUCUUCGGAUCGUAAAACUCUUUUAUUAGGGAAGAACAAAUGUGGAAGUAACUAGUCACGUCGUGACGGUACCUAAACAAAAAGCAACGGCUAACUACGUG
rnacentral:rRNA from 1 species